rnacentral:rRNA from 1 species
GACGAACGCUGGCGGCGUGCUUAACACAUGCAAGUCGAACGAAAAGAGGGAAAGAGCUUGCUCUUUCCGGAAUUGAGUGGCAAACGGGUGAGUAACACGUAAACAACCUGCCUUCAGGAUGGGGACAACAGACGGAAACGACUGCUAAUACCGAAUAAGUUCCAAGAGCCGCAUGGCCCAUGGAAGAAAAGGUGGCCUCUACCUGUAAGCUAUCGCCUGAAGAGGGGUUUGCGUCUGAUUAGCUGGUUGGAGGGGUAACGGCCCACCAAGGCGACGAUCAGUAGCCGGUCUGAGAGGAUGAACGGCCACACUGGAACUGAGACACGGUCCAGACUCCUACGGGAGGCAGCAGGGGGGAAUCUUCCGCAAUGGGCGAAAGCCUGACGGAGCAACGCCGCGUGAGGGAUGACGGCCUUCGGGUUGUAAAACUCUGUGAUCCGGGACGAAAAGGCAGAGUGCGAAGAACAAACUGCAUUGACGGCACCGGAAAAGCAAGCCACGGCUAACUACGUG